GAUGAACGCUGGCGGCGUGCCUAAUACAUGCAAGUCGAGCGAACAGACGAGGAGCUUGCUCCUCUGACGUUAGCGGCGGACGGGUGAGUAACACGUGGAUAACCCACCUAUAAGACUGGGAUAACUUCGGGAAACCGGAGCUAAUACCGGAUAAUAUAUUGAACCGCAUGGUUCAAUAGUGAAAGACGGUUGUUCUGUCACUUAUAGCUGGAUCCGCGCCGCAUUAGCUAGUUGGUAAGGUAACGGCUUACCAAGGCAACGAUGCGUAGCCGACGGGAGAGGGUGAUAGGCCACACUGGAGCGGAGACACGGUCCAGGGUCCUACGGGAGGCAGCAGUAGGCAAUCUUCCGCAAUAGGCGGAAGCCUGACGGAGCGACGCCGCGUGAGUGAUGACGGUCUUCGGAUCGUAAAAAUCGGUUAUGAGGGAAGAACAAAUUUGUCAGUAACUAUGCACGUCGUGACGGUACCGAAUCAGAAAGCCACGGCUAACUACGUG
rnacentral:rRNA from 1 species